UUUUAGCCCGGAUAGCAGCGGAAAUCCUUUUUUAAUGACCAGCGGGAAUAAAAAGAUUGCAGCGUAUAGCCGGAAAUAGC
rnacentral:sRNA from 1 species